AACGCACCUUGCACCCUUUGGUAUUCCGAAGGGUACACCCGUUUGAGUGUCAUUGUAAUCUCACUCCACCAGCUAUUUGUUGAUGGAUGUGGACCUGGACUCUGUUGUGUUACUACAACUGGUCUGAAAUACAUGAGUGCACCCUGCUAUUGCAGCGUUUUCAGUGUGAUAAGCAUCUUCACUGGACCAAGUUCCCUUGGGACACGCAGCAUUGUGGGCUCUGUGCUGGCAAACUGUCUUUGGACAACUUUGACAAUUUGACCUCAGAUCGGGUGGGACUACCCGCUGAACUUAA
rnacentral:misc_RNA from 1 species